CUUAUCCCAAUCUACAGGCAUUUGCUAAAAGGUCAAACACGGGAUCAAGCCAAAACAGAGAUGACAGCAAUACAAUAAGAAACC
rnacentral:lncRNA from 1 species